UCUCCUCUGCAAGACCUAGUCUCUGCUAUUGUUUGAAAUCAAAGAUUGAUAACAAACACUUAGGCGGCCCCGUUCUAGGUGCUUUAUGCUUAUUAACUCAUUACUUCCCAUCAGGCAGGUGCGUGCAACUGUUAUCCCUAUUUUACAGAUGCGAGAGCCGAGGCAGGGAGGUUACGACACUUGCCUCAAGUCACACAGUUAGUAAGGGGCGUAGCUGGGGUUUGAUCCUUAGAUUGUGAGCUCCCUCAAGUUCAUGUACAAGGAAGGACCCUGAGUCCACCAGGACCUGUUCAGCCCCUACUCUGUGUUCUCAUGUACCCCUCACAACAACUCUGAUAUGGGAGUAUGGUUAGUCCCAUUUUCUUGAGGAAGAAACGGAGUCUCAAGAGGAGGUUAAGUUGGCCCAGGUCAGCUCCUAGGUGCCCUACUGCCUGACCAGCUUCAGAAGGCCACAGGCUCCCACAACAGGUGAACACCACGUGCUGACUAUGCACGGGGACCUUCAAGCAGGGGGCGAGCAGUCUCCGUUCCCAGGGUACCAGCCUUGCCCUGCCCGGACCAGCCUUGCCCUGCUGCAAACCCAGGAAAACAGCAAGUCGGGGCCAAGAGUUCCAGCCGGGCUGGAAACAUUAGAAGGGACCGAGGCAGCGAGAUGUCUAAAAUAGGAAGACGCCGGCAAGAUUGGCCUGGCUGCCGGCGACGCUGGCUGCGGGGAUCUGGCCCGGCUGUGCAGACGGAAAAGCUAAGAGACAUUUCCUGCAGUGUGGGGGGGUGCAGAAUUGACUCAUCCAUCCAUUCAGUUAGUCAUUAACUUUUUCCUGAGCAUCUACUCCACGCCAGACACCGUGCCUGGAGCCGGGUUUCCAGCGGGGAACAAGGCGCAGGGUCUCACCUCACGGAGCUCACGGGCUGGACUGAGCCGGGGAGCCAGAAGCCUAAAAGAAGAAUUGAAACCCAGGGAUCUGAAAGCUGGAAGAGUGUACGUACAAGGAGCCAUCUGGUCAGCAGAAUCAGGAAAGCCUUUGCAGAGGAGGGGCCAGCCCAACUGGACGGUGAGGGAUGAAGAGGAGUUCGCCAAGGCAGCCGCAAGGGGUAAGGGCAGGCAACACGACUGCAAGGCAUACCCAACAUUCUGGGCCAGGAGGGCUUUCAAGUUCUCUUCUGUCCUGCGUUCUGACUUUCUAGCUGAAUCCUGCUGUUAAAGCCUAAAUGGAGCCCGUGGGGAGCCCACAGCGUCCAGCUCCUCCCGGGUCUCUGAGCUGACCCAGAAUAGCCCGUUUCUAGAACACAAACAGAUGGAGGCCAGGGGUCCGUCCUGGAGCAUCCUGGCUGGGUUUCUCGGGCGAGGACAGCUAAGCUGAGCGGGUCCAAAUCCCAGCUCCCCAUUUACCAGCAAGUGACUCCACUUCUCAGUGCUUUUGUUUCCUCAUCUGUAAUUGUAGGAUAAGGACGGUCCCAGGUCCCCAGAGGGCUGGCAGGAGAACCGAGUUAAUGCAGAUGGAACUUACAGCACUCUUCCCUCCUCCUCUCCUCUCUCCCUCCGCUUUCUCCCCUCCUUCCCCCUCUCCCUUUCCCCUCCCUCCUCCCAGACCCCUCCCUCCCUCUCUCCUUCCCCCACAGCCCCACUGGACUGCCUUUUGUAAGAGACCUCUAUGGCUGUGUCACCAGGAGGCCUAGACCUAGGCCAUUUCCUCUGCCCAGACCGAGAUUCCCCUAGAGCCUCACCCCUUCUUUAUCAAGGUCUCUGGUCAAAUGCCGACUCCCUGACCGCCUUCUCUAAGAUAUCCUGCCCCGCCCCCUCCUCAUCACUCUAUAUGCACCCCUGCCGUCCCCCACACCUGAGUUUUCUUCCUGGCCCUUAGCAUACCGUGUGACAUUAUAUAUUUAUUUGUGUAUUGUCUUCUGCCCUGGCUUCCCUGCAACCUCCAUGCCGUACCCCCAGCACCUGGAACAGUGCCCAGUGCAGUGGACCCCCAAUAACUAUGCGCGGAAUGAAAUAUUUGUGGAAGAACUAAGCAUUAGCUGUAAUUGUUA